rnacentral:rRNA from 1 species
UACGGAGGGGGCAAGCGUUGUCCGGAAUCAUUGGGCGUAAAGCGCGCGUAGGCGGCCCGGUAAGUCCGUUGUGAAAGUCAAAGGCUCAACCUUUGAACGCCGAUGGAUACUGCCGGGCUAGAGUCCGGAAGAGGCGAGUGGAAUUCCUGGUGUAGCGGUGGAAUGCGCAGAUAUCAGGAGGAACACCAAUAGCGAAGGCAGCUCGCUGGGACGGUACUGACGCUGAGGCGCGAAGGCGUGGGGAGCGAACGGG